GGGCGCGGGGGGACCGGCGGCUGGGGACGCCCCUGGCCAAGCCGGAUAGCAGGGACAGGGAGAGGGCGGCGACCGCCAGCCUAGGGGCUGAGGGGGGCUGGGGACCGCGGGGGCCGGCUCUCGGGCGCAGGGGCGGGGGCCUGUCCUGGCGAGGAAGGCAGUCUUUGCCAAACCGGCCUGUCUCCGUGAAGACUUUGACGUGGUCGUUUACGGCUGUCAGCCAGGGACAGAUUUCCUUUCAGCCGUUGGGAUGGACCCAGGAAUGUGGUCGCUGUGCACCGGGGAGGCAGCGGCCCAAUUGUCCGGCUGAGCGCCAUCCCUGCGGGCAGAGAGGCAGUCCUGGGGCUGCGCGGUAGCUUCUGCUCUGCACCUGCCGGGCAGUGUGGCUUGGGGGGUCGGGGGGGCCGACUGAAGCCUCAGAUGUACCUGCUGGGGCGUCUCCGGAAGACUGCAGACUCCGGCCCCAGUGCGUCUCCGCUGGGGGAAGGCGGCCGGUGGGCAGGCGUUGUCCCCUGGCCCUAGCUGGGAUGCAUUUCUACGAUCGAAUGAACCAUCUGCUGGAGGAUACUAAAACACACAUGUUUUCUUGGCCAUUUUCUGAUGAAGGGUGUGACUUAAAAAGUCUUCUGGUUGUCAAAAGCAUAAUGGUCUGCGGAAAUGGGAUCCAAGACAUCAUGCUAAGUUUCGUUAAAAUGACAUGGCACA